rnacentral:rRNA from 1 species
GAUGAACGCUGACAGAAUGCUUAACACAUGCAAGUCUACUUGAAUUUGGGUUUUUUAACUUAGAUUUGGGUGGCGGACGGGUGAGUAACGCGUAAAGAACUUGCCUCACAGUUAGGGACAACAUUUGGAAACAAAUGCUAAUACCUGAUAUUAUGAAUAUAUGGCAUCAUAUAAUUAUGAAAGCUAUAAGCGCUGUGAGAGAGCUUUGCGUCCCAUUAGCUAGUUGGAGAGGUAACGGCUCACCAAGGCGAUGAUGGGUAGCCGGCCUGAGAGGGUGAACGGCCACAAGGGGACUGAGACACGGCCCUUACUCCUACGGGAGGCAGCAGUGGGGAAUAUUGGACAAUGGACCAAGAGUCUGAUCCAGCAAUUCUGUGUGCACGAUGACGUUUUUCGGAAUGUAAAGUGCUUUCAGUUGGGAAGAAAAAAAUGACGGUACCAACAGAAGAAGUGACGGCUAAAUACGUG